rnacentral:lncRNA from 1 species
UGUGGAUGUGUAGAGUUUAUUGCACAAUUUAUGAAGUGGUGAGAUUGCUGUAUGCAAAUCUGUCUAGAUGGCUCCCUCAGAGGCUUGCGCUAAUUACCCGAGGCAGGCAGGGAAGAGGGAAAGAAAAAGGUAUACAAAAACUCACUAGUUUUUCUUUCUUUUGUUGCUGUUGUUUCUUAGGGUCAAAGAAGAGACUUGACAGAAAAAUUAAGCUGAAAGGGAAGUCGAAAUGGCUACUAUAGUCACAGGUAUUUCAAUAAGAGGAUCAUUUACUGAGGAAGCCAAAUGUGAACCAGUCUAUUGAGGAAAUAGAAUUUACAUUCUGCCACACAGUUAAUCUUAGAAUCAAUCCAUUGGUUGAACAGUAAAGAACAAAUGGCAACUUCAUGCAGUAUUACAGUCAAGGUUACCAUUCUGGGGGAAAACAUAGGGUUUAGCAUUAAACUACAUACAUGUCAAUACUCUUUUUCAGUUUUUGUCUUUAAGUGUCCAAAUUGCCUUGCCACUCAGUUUUUUAUUUUUAUUUUUUUGAGUGGACAGCAUGAAGAAGUACUCUUUUUUAUUCCAUAUUUUUUUAAUUCCCCCUUCACUACCCCCACCUCCAGUCU